ensembl:lncRNA
GCUUCCUAAAUCACUGGAACAGAGUUGAAACGGCAUGUAGGGGCAUGACCAGGUCCAGGUAGUGGGAGGGGUGUGUGUGAACGGGGGAGGCAGCUCUUCAAAACCUGGUGUUGGGUUCCCCUUCCAUUGUACUCCGAUUCCUCUAGAGGAGACAGAAACCCACCUCUGCUCCCACACCCUGACAACAGACCAGUUGAGAGGCCGCCCUGAGAGACAACUCUAGCCCGUAAAAGUCUUCUUUGGUAGUGCCUUCCCAACCAUUCUCUAAACCCAGCCAUCCCACCUUCCACUUCCUGGUCCAUCCAUCCAUCCGUCAGGUCCCCCAUGGCAAACUCCAUAGCCCCCUUUUUCCUGCCCCGAGUGGCGGACCUCAGCCUGCCCCCCUGUGGAGAGACGCAGUGCAAUGGGAGGGGAACUUGCAAGGACCCCAUAGCAGGAGGAGGAGGAAGCUUCUGUGACUGCAUGCUAGGAUACAAGGUAGGACGGGACAUGCUGUGCGCUCUGAACUCCAUGCAUGCAAAUCAAACGCUAUUCUGGUUCAGCGGGUAUGCAUACACGCCAUUGGAUGGCAACCGGGGAUGUUUGGGAAAUGAUGUGAAUGAAAGGCUUCUAUAGAAAAUCACAAGGAACUGGUAUAAGCCAGUGUGCCCUGGGAAGGUCUAGCAGAUAUAUUGUGGGGUUUAAUACCUGACACGGGUAACAGGGAUGUUGGAGAGGAUUAAGUCCUGACACGGGUAACAGGGAUGUUGGAGAGGAUUAAGUCCUGACACAGGUAACAGGGAUGUCAGAGAGGAUUAAGUCCUGACACAGGUAACAGUGAUGUCAGAGGAUUAAGUCCUGACACAGGUAACAGUGAUGUCAGAGGAUUAAGUCCUGACACAGGUAACAGUGAUGUCAGAGGAUUAAGUCCUGAC